GAUGAACGCUAGCGAUAGGCUUAACACAUGCCAGUCGAGGGGCAGCAUGGUCUUAGCUUGCUAAGACUGAUGGCGACCGGCGCACGGGUGCGUAACGCGUAUGCAACUUGCCUCACAGAGGGGGAUAACCCGUCGAAAGACGGACUAAUACCGCGUACACUCCAUCUUGGGCAUCCAAGGUAGAGGAAAUGAAAUUCGCUGUGAGAUAGGCAUGCGUCCCAUUAGCUAGUUGGUGAGGUAACGGCUCACCAAGGCGACGAUGGGUAGGGGAACUGAGAGGUUGAACCCCCACACUGGUACUGAGACACGGACCAGACUCCUACGGGAGGCAGCAGUGAGGAAUAUUGGUCAAUGGGCGAGAGCCUGAACCAGCCAAGUCGCGUGAAGGAUGACUGUCUUAUGGAUUGUAAACUUCUUUUAUACGGGAAUAACAAGAGUCACGUGUGACUCCCUGCAUGUACCGUAUGAAUAAGCAUCGGCUAACUCCGUG
rnacentral:rRNA from 1 species